AAGUCGUAACAAGGUUUCCGUAGGUGAACCUGCGGAAGGAUCAUUAACACGUAUCCAAACGUUAAAACCCCCCCCGUGAACCUUCAUCCUGCUCUUGUAACCCGCGAAGCUUGCAAUCUCUGGUAAAUCAUAGCCCGGAAAGUAGUUUGAUUCAGAGACCUCUGGCCCGUGCGAACAUUGGAACAGUUACAAUCGACUGCGGUAGUUCUAUAGGCAUUGUUUCCCCAAGCAGUCAGUGUCUGAAGGUGUCAUUGAUUAUGCAAGGAUAGCGCUUCACGCUCAAUGUAAUACAUUGGGUAAAAAAACCGAACAACUGUUAACAAUGGAUAUCUUGGUUCUC
rnacentral:misc_RNA from 1 species